AACGAGCGCAACCCUUAUCAUUAGUUGCCAUCAUUAAGUUGGGGACUCUAAGGGAGACUGCCGGUGACAAACCGGAGGAAGGUGGGGAUGACGUCAAGUCCUCAUGGCCCUUAUAGGUGGGGCUACACACGUCAUACAAUGGCUGGUACAGAGGGUUGCCAACCCGCGAGGGGGAGCUAAUCCCAUAAAACCAGUCGUAGUCCGGAUCGCAGUCUGCAACUCGACUGCGUGAAGUCGGAAUCGCUAGUAAUCGCGGAUCAGCAUGCCGCGGUGAAUACGUUCCCGGGUCUUGUACACACCGCCCGUCACA
rnacentral:rRNA from 1 species